rnacentral:rRNA from 1 species
UACGUAGGGUGCGAGCGUUGUCCGGAAUUAUUGGGCGUAAAGAGCUCGUAGGCGGUUUGUCGCGUCGGCUGUGAAAACUGGAGGCUUAACCUUCAGCGUGCAGUCGAUACGGGCAGACUUGAGUUCGGUAGGGGAGUCUGGAAUUCCUGGUGUAGCGGUGAAAUGCGCAGAUAUCAGGAGGAACACCGGUGGCGAAGGCGGGACUUUGGGCCGAUACUGACGCUGAGGAGCGAAAGCGUGGGGAGCGAACAGG